rnacentral:rRNA from 2 species
ACGUAGGGGGCGAGCGUUAUCCGGAUUUAUUGGGCGUAAAGCGUGUGUAGGCGGUUUAUUAAGUUUAAGAUUAAAGCCCGGGGCUCAACUCCGGUAAGUCUUAAAAACUGGUAGACUUGAGUACGGUAGAGGCAAACGGAAUUUCUAGUGUAGCGGUGAAAUGCGUAGAUAUUAGAAGGAACACCAGUGGCGAAAGCGGUUUGCUGGGCCGUUACUGACGCUGAGGCACGAAAGCGUGGGGAGCAAAUAG